UCCACCUGGUGGUCCCAGAGGCGAUGAUUCCCCGUCGCCUCGGCCGCCGUAGAGCUCUGCGAGGCCGCCACGGGUGGUGGAGACUCCGUCCGCGUCAUCGAGACGCCGCAGCCCAACUCAAGUGUUAGCCCCAACUUGAUUCUGAUGAAUUGAUGCUUGAUUCUGAUGGUCAUGGUGUGCUGCUUUGCAUGUUAAGUUCAGCGUGGAGGUGCCUCCCUUGAUAUGCAGAGCAGCGGGUUGCACUCGGACGACGCCGGGAUCGGGGCUGCGGAAGCCAGGAAGGCCGACCUCAUGGCUAAGAAGGCCAAGCUGGACGAGACCCUGGCUGCAGCCCGCCAGUUCAGAGCACUGCUUCGGCAGUAGCUCCAGAAAGCCUUCGCGUCACAGAUACAUGCUUUUUAUUUCAGUCUUGUUUAGAGGAGGCCCCGGCGGCGUCGAGCUGCUGUUGCUGCGGGCACAGCAACGUCGGCGUGGUCGGGAUGGUCGCAGCCCUUCAAGAUUCUCAACGGCGGCGUCUCGGCACUGAUGGCAGAGUCCACGGCGAGCAUCGGCGGGUACAGAUGGAGUAGGAGGACGAGCGGUAGCAGCAAAUCAGCCUGAUGAUGAUGGGGUGCAGAAGGCAAUGGUGAUCAUGCUGAUGGCAUGAAGAAGGCUGAUGACCACAAUAUGGACCUUUUGGCAUUUAGAUAUGGCAAACACAGGCGGCGUGGAGACAACAACUUGGACCACCCACCUCCCUUGCCUUUUUAAUUUUGGUUGUGGUGGUUGCAUCACCGUCGCGGUCGCAAAUCAGUAUGUAGUGUGCUUGUGGAGUUGGGUCUGGACCGCAGUGUCCAUCCAGUAGGUUAGGUGUUGUUGCUUCUAGAUCCCAUGAUGGUCACCUAAGUUUUUUGUUAUGUGGAGGCCAACCUUUGUGAUCUUAUUUGUCAACAUUUGUGUGAUCUUGUCUUACUUUGUGAUACAAGUUGUACGAUAUAUAUGUUUUUAUGGAUGAU